rnacentral:rRNA from 1 species
UACGUAGGCAGCAAGCGUUGUUCGGAGUUACUGGGCGUAAAGGGUGUGUAGGCGGUUGUUUAAGUUUGGUGUGAAAUCUCCCGGCUCAACCGGGAGGGUGCGCCGAAUACUGAAUGACUUGGAGUGCGGGAGAGGAAAGUGGAAGUUCCUGGUGUAGCGGUGAAAUGACGUAGAUAUCAGGAGGAACACCGGUGGUGUAGACGGCUUCUGGACCGUAACUGACGCUGAGACACGAAAGCGUGGGUAGCAAACGG